rnacentral:rRNA from 1 species
GACCCGUCUUGAAACACGGACCAAGGAGUUUUAUAUGAUCGCAAGUCAAAGGGCCUUACGAAACCCCAUGGCGCAAUUAAUGUAAAGGUUUGCUUCGGUAGACUGUGAUGUGACCUCGUGGNAACACAGAGUGCAACAUCGACCCGUCUAAAGAUGUUCGCAUCUGGGCGGAGUUUGAGCGAUCAUGUAGAGACCCGAAAGAUGGUGAACUAUGCUUGUGCAGGUUGAAGUCAGAGGAAACUCUGAUGGAGGACCGCCGCGGUUCUGACGUGCAAAUCGAUCGUCGGACAUGAGUAUAGGGGCGAAAGACUAAUCGAACCAUCUAGUAGCUGGUUCCCUCCGAAGUUUCCCUCAGGAUAGCUGGCAUUUGUGAUUGUAGUUUUACCUGGUAAAGCGAAUGAUUAGAAGUAUUGGGGACGAAAUGUUCUCAACUUAUUCUCAAACUUUAAAUGGGUUCGAAGUAUGUCUCUCUUUAUUGGAGAUGUACAUCGAAUACGAAUGCCUAGUGGGCCAUUUUUGGUAAGCAGAACUGGCGAUGUGGGAUGAACCAAACAUCUGGUUAAGGUGCCUAACAUCACGCUCAUGAGAAACCACAAAAGGUGUUGGUUGAUAAAGACAGCAGGACGGUGGACAUGGAAGUCGUCAUCCGCUAAGGAGUGUGU